GACGAACGCUGGCGGCGUGCCUAACACAUGCAAGUAGAACGCAGUUGCGAACGGGUGAGUAAUGCGUAGGUAACUGCCUCAUAGCGGGGGAUAACUAUUGGAAACGUAAGCUAAUACCGCAUACUGUGAGAUGGACCUGCGUUUUAUUAGCUAGUUGGGGAGGUAAAGGCUCACCAAGGCGACGAUACAUAGCCGGCCUGUGAGGGUGGUCCGGCACACUGGGACUGGGGCCAGGCCCAGACUCCUUCGGGAGGCAAGAUGAGGGAAUCUUCGGCAAAGGACGGAAGUCUGACCGAGGAACGCCUCGGUAGUGAAGAAGGUUUUCGGAUUGUAAAGCUCUGUUGUUAGAGGAGCGUUAACUAACCAGAAAGCGACGGCUAACUACGUGCCAGCAGCCGCGGUAAUAC
rnacentral:rRNA from 1 species